rnacentral:rRNA from 1 species
AUUGAACGCUGGCGGCAUGCUUUACACAUGCAAGUCGAACGGUAACAGGUUAAGCUGACGAGUGGCGAACGGGUGAGUAAUGCAUCAGAACGUGCCCGGUCGUGGGGGAUAACGCAGCGAAAGCUGCGCUAAAACCGCAUACGAUCUGAGGAUGAAAGCGGGGGACCGUAAGGCCUCGCGCGAUCGGAGCGGCCGAUGUCAGAUUAGGUAGUUGGUGGGGUAAAGGCUCACCAAGCCGACGAUCUGUAGCUGGUCUGAGAGGACGACCAGCCACACUGGGACUGGGACACGGCCCAGAGUCCUACGGGAGGCAGCAGUGGGGAAUUUUGGACAAUGGGCGCAAGCCUGAUCCAGCAAUGCCGCGUGCAGGAAGAAGGCCUUCGGGUUGUAAACUGCUUUUGUACGGAGCGAAAAGGCUCUCUCUAAUACAGGGGGUUCAUGACGGUACCGUAAGAAUAAGCACCGGCUAACUACGUGCCAGCAGCCGCCGUAA